rnacentral:tRNA from 1 species
GGCCUUGAAGUAUUUGUUACGUUGAAUUGCAAAUUCAGAGGAGUAGCUGAUUGCUGCCAGGGCUU